UACGUAGGGUGCAGGCGUUAAUCGGAAUUACUGGGCGUAAAGCGUGCGCAGGCGGUCUUUUAAGUCAGAUGUGAAAUCCCCGGGCUUAACCUGGGAACUGCGUUUGAAACUGAAAGGCUAGAGUGUGGCAGAGGGGGGUGGAAUUCCACGUGUAGCAGUGAAAUGCGCAGAUAUCGGGAGGAACACCGGUGGCGAAGGCGGCCCCCUGGUUGGAUACUGACGCUGAGACGCGAAAGCGUGGGGAGCAAACAGG
rnacentral:rRNA from 1 species